AAAAUUAGUUUUGGACUAAUACCAUCUAUGGAGGUGAAGCUUCCCUCGUUUGCAUUUGUCCAGAAAGGUGCCAUGAUCUGAAUUCCAGAAGUGUUGAAGAGUAGAAGAAUAGUCACUGAAGGAGGUCCAAAUCGCUUCAAAUCUAUGGAUGGGUCUGUAUUUUUUGGUGAAGCCUGUCAGACUGCAAAGAAUUGGGUUGUGAUCAGUGAUCACUAUCAAGACCCCCUGAGAGACCCACGACUUCAAUGCAGAAGUAAUUAUUCCACUCCAGAAAGGAUAAUCAAGGCUGCUGUAGUUAUCCAGGUGGCAUAGCUCUGAAUUACUUGAACAUAAUUUAACAAAAAACUUGCUAUUAUAUGCUUUAAAGCAAACAUUAACACUCCAUUGCAAAAGUGGGUAUUAUGGCUUUUAAAUUUGAGUUGUGGAUGAAUUGUUGUUAGUGGUGAUUAUCAUGAACUGUUGGUUGCUUGUAGGCUUACUGGUGUUGCCACAGAAAUCAUUCAUACUACACGAGUCUUCAGAAGGCAGCACUCAUUUCUCAAUGUGGUUGCUAGGAGAGAGCUCAGGAAGCUCAGAAUGGCUGCAAGAGAAACAGGGGCCCUAAAAGAAGCGAAAGACAAACUAGAAAAGCAAGUGGAGGAACUUACACGGCGCUUGCAGUUUGAGAAACGAUCAAGGGCUGAUCUGGAGGAGGCAAAAGCCCUUGAAAUUUCCAAGCUAUAGGAUGCUUUUAAUGCCAUGCAAAUAUGAGAAGAGGCAAAUGCCAAGGUUAACAAAGAACAAUAGGCAGCUCGGAAAGCUAUUGAAGAAGCACCUCCAGUCAUUAAGGAGACACCAGUAAUAAUUCAAGAUACAGAGAAGGUUAAUGCAUUAACUGCUGAAGUUGAAAAGCUGAAGGUAGAGCUCUAAGCUUGAAUUAGUUAUGCUAUCUUAUGGUCUUACUGUUACACAACCUAUGUACCAUUUUUUUGCCAUCUUGGUACUACAGGAUAUUGUAAAAAACUA